UGUCACCUGUUCCCUGUUCCUCUGAUUACCUGCCCUAUUGUUUCUUGUCCACCUUUGUCUGUAUUUAAGUUUGCCUUCGUCCUUUGUUCCACGUGGUGUCGUUAUGUCUUUUCAAUGUCCUCAUGAGAUGUCUUUUGGAUUUUGUCCUUGAACUGGAUAAUCUUGUCACCCUGCACCUCGCCUGCAUGUUCAAGCCACAGCAUUCAGGCCAUGGCCAAGAAAUCAAAGUGGUGUCCAAGAUUCAAGGAGCACUCACAGCGAGCUUCAGAAACAACUGGAAAUAGCAGGAAACCUUGGAAAACAGCCGUGGAACCUCUGGAACCCUUUUGAGGAACCCUGGAGGAUGGCGUGGAAGCCCGGAGAACCCAUGACAGAGCUCUGGAGAGCAUCGUGGGAGCCACCAGGAGAAGCUUUUUGUGUUAUUUUCCCAUAUGCUAUACAUUUGUGAGGGGGCUGGAGCACCUGUCCCUUUUGCUCCUUGUCCAAAAGUGCCCAUAUUAUCUAUUUAUUUAUUUAUUUAUUCAUUCACAAGCCUUUCUGUUUCUUGUUGGUCAAUAAACCGGUAAGUGAGGGGCUGAAACACAACACAAGCAGGUGGAGAAAAGAGAGGGUUAUGGCUCUCUGAGCAGGAGGAGACAAGUGAGGAGAAGUUGUUGUGUUAUGAACCAGCUGCUAGCUAAAGACUUUGUAGGUGUCUAAAAAACUUUGACUCAGCAGUUUUACUAUAAUAUUUGUAGAAAAGCUACUUUGAGGAGACUUUGAGGAGAUGUGUGAUGAUGAGAUGCAUCGGUGCUGCAAUUUAUAUAUAUUUAACCUUUUUUAGGGCCAAUGAAAAUGCAGUUAUUAUUCUAUCAAUCAGCUGUUUUAGAGGUUAGAAUGAACUGAAUAGCUUGUCACGAACAAAUCAUUAUGUAGAUUAUAUCACAUUUCUGUCAAAAUUUGUCUCCUCAACUAAUAAUGUUGGUUUUAUGUUCCAAUUUAACAAGCAAUGAUUUUUAUAAAAUAUGUUGUUAUAUUUUUUAUUCAAGAAAUUUAUGACUAAUUUCUAGUAACUUAACUAGAUAGUAGCAUGUACAUUUUAAGUAGUAAGUAAAUAUUUUUUUGGAUAAUAGUCCAUAAAGUGUUUGUUUUAGUUCAAAGAUGCCUUGUAAAGAAAGAUGUCUGAAACAAACCAGGAAGAAGCUGCUUGAAGCAGCCAAAGGUAGAAGAUUGUUAACCAACUGGGUUAGAAAGAGUAGAACAGGUAAGAGCAGAAAUACUAAUAUUUUACAUAGUCAACAUAUAGAUGUUUGGUUGUGCACUUAUAUAUGAAUUUUACUAGCAACCAGUUAAGAAGUUUUUAAUGAUGUUCAAUUGUACUGUUUUUAAAUGUAGAUUUAUUCAUAGCUAAUUUCUUGCCUGUAGAAGGUUCCAACAGUGUAAUCGUGUAAAAACAAAAUAUGUCUUGUGACCUAGAUCUCUAAUAAAAUAUUUCAUACAUAUA